rnacentral:rRNA from 1 species
UAGUGGGAGGAGUGACAGAUUGAGAGCUCUUUCUUGAUUCGGUGGAUGGUGGUGCAUGGCCGUUCUUAGUUGGUGGAGCGAUUUGUCUGGUUAAUUCCGAUAACGAACGAGACUCUAGCCUAUUAAAUAGGUGCGGGGUUCCCAGCACCUUACAACCUUCUUAGAGGGACAAGCGGCUCCUAGCCGCACGAAACAGAGCAAUAACAGGUCUGUGAUGCCCUUACAU